GAAAAGAAUGCUAAUACCGCAUGACAUAUCGGAACCACAUGGUUCUGAUAUCAAAGAUUUUAUCGCUUGAAGAUGGACUCGCGUCCGAUUAGUUAGUUGGUGAGGUAACGGCUCACCAAGACCGCGAUCGGUAGCCGGACUGAGAGGUUGAACGGCCACAUUGGGACUGAGACACGGCCCAGACUCCUACGGGAGGCAGCAGUGGGGGAUAUUGCGCAAUGGGGGCAACCCUGACGCAGCAACGCCGCGUGAAGGAUGAAGGUUUUCGGAUUGUAAACUUCUUUUAUUAAGGACGAAAAAUGACGGUACUUAAUGAAUAAGCUCCGGCUAACUACGUGCCAGCAGCCGCGGUAAUACGUAGGGAGCAAGCGUUGUCCGGAUUUACUGGGUGUAAAGGGUGCGUAGGCGGCUUUGCAAGUCAGAUGUGAAAUCUAUGGGCUCAACCCAUAAACUGCAUUUGAAACUGUAGAGCUUGAGUGAAGUAGAGGCAGGCGGAAUUCCCCGUGUAGCGGUGAAAUGCGUAGAGAUGGGGAGGAACACCAGUGGCGAAGGCGGCCUGCUGGGCUUUAACUGACGCUGAGGCACGAAAGCGUGGGUAGCAAACAGGAUUAGAUACCCUGGUAGUCCACGCUGUAAACGAUGAUUACGAGGUGUGGGGGGUCUGACCCCUUCCGUG
rnacentral:rRNA from 1 species